GACGAACGCUGGCGGCGUGCUUAACACAUGCAAGUCGAACGGAAAGGCCCUGCUUUUGUGGGGUGCUCGAGUGGCGAACGGGUGAGUAACACGUGAGUAACCUGCCCUUGACUUUGGGAUAACUUCAGGAAACUGGGGCUAAUACCGGAUAGGAGCUCCUGCUGCGUGGUGGGGGUUGGAAAGUUUCGGCGGUUUGGGAUGGACUCGCGGCUUAUCAGCUUGUUGGUGGGGUAGUGGCUUACCAAGGCAUUGACGGGUAGCCGGCCUGAGAGGGUGGCCGGGCACAUUGGGACUGCGAUACGGCGCAGAGGCCUACGGGAGGCAGCGGUGGGGAAUAUGACACAACGGGCGGGAGCCUGAUGCGGCGACGCCGCGUGCGGGAUGACGGCCUUCGGGUUGUAAACCGCUUUCGCCUGAGACGAGGGGUGAGUGACGGUAAUGGAUGAAGAAGCACCGGCUAACUACGUG
rnacentral:rRNA from 1 species